rnacentral:rRNA from 1 species
ACAGAGGGGGCAAGCGUUGCUCGGAAUCACUGGGCGUAAAGGGCGCGUAGGCGGGAUGGCAAGUCAGUCGUGAAAUCUCUCGGCUCAACCGAGAAACGUCGGCUGAUACUGCCGUUCUUGAGGGAUGCAGAGGAGACUGGAAUUCCCGGUGUAGCGGUGAAAUGUGUAGAGAUCGGGAGGAAUACCAGUGGCGAAAGCGGCUCUCUGGUCCAAAACUGACGCUGAGGGGCGAAAGCGUGGGGAGCGAACGGGA